CAAAGGACUACCUCAAACAGUAUCUCUGGACUGCAGGCACAACUGGAAGACAAGAACAAGCAGCUGGUGACUAAGAAUAGAGAAAACUCAAAUCUGAUCCAAGAAAAAUCUGGCUUCCAGAAUCAGCUGAAGGAGCUACAAAGGACAACCUCAAACAAUAUCUCCGGACUGCAGGCACAACUGGAAGACAAGAACAAGCAGCUGGCGACUAAGAAUAGAGAAAACUCAAAUCUGA